AACGUCUCAGUUCGGAUUGUAGUCUGCAACUCGACUACAUGAAGCUGGAAUCGCUAGUAAUCGCGAAUCAGAAUGUCGCGGUGAAUACGUUCCCGGGUCUUGUACACACCGCCCGUCACACCAUGGGAGUCGGAUAUGCCCGAAGUCAGUGACCCAACCAUAUGGAGGGAGCUGCCGAAGGUGGAGCCGAUAACUGGGGUGAAGUCGUAACAAGGUAUCGAGCGGUAAGUCGUAACAAGGUAUC
rnacentral:rRNA from 1 species